GAUCCUGGCUCAGAUUGAACGCUGGCGGAAUGCUUUACACAUGCAAGUCGAACGGUAGAGGGGGCAACCCCUUGAGAGUGGCGAACGGGUGAGUAAUAUAUCGGAACGUGCCCAGUCGUGGGGGAUAACGUAGCGAAAGUUACGCUAAUACCGCAUACGAUCUAAGGAUGAAAGCGGGGGACUCGCAAGAGCCUCGCGCGAUUGGAGCGGCCGAUAUCAGAUUAGGUAGUUGGUGGGGUAAAGGCUCACCAAGCCAACGAUCUGUAGCUGGUCUGAGAGGACGACCAGCCACACUGGGACUGAGACACGGCCCAGACUCCUACGGGAGGCAGCAGUGGGGAAUUUUGGACAAUGGGCGCAAGCCUGAUCCAGCAAUGCCGCGUGCAGGAAGAAGGCCUUCGGGUUGUAAACUGCUUUUGUACGGAACGAAAAGGUCCGGGUUAAUACCCUGGGCUCAUGACGGUACCGUAAGAAUAAGCACCGGCUAACUACGUG
rnacentral:rRNA from 1 species